GAUGAACGCUGGCGGCGUGCCUAAUACAUGCAAGUCGAGCGAACGGACGAGAAGCUUGCUUCUCUGAUGUUAGCGGCGGACGGGUGAGUAACACGUGGAUAACCUACCUAUAAGACUGGGAUAACUUCGGGAAACCGGAGCUAAUACCGGAUAAUAUUUUGAACCGCAUGGUUCAAAGGUGAAAGACGGUCUUGCUGUCACUUAUAGAUGGAUCCGCGCUGCAUUAGCUAGUUGGUAAGGUAACGGCUUACCAAGGCAACGAUGCAUAGCCGACCUGUGAGGGUGAUCGGCCACACUGGAACUGAGACACGGUCCAGACUCCUACGGGAGGCAGCAGUAGGGAAUCUUCCGCAAUGGGCGAAAGCCUGACGGAGCAACGCCGCGUGAGUGAUGAAGGUCUUCGGAUCGUAAAACUCUGUUAUUAGGGAAGAACAUAUGUGUAAGUAACUGUGCACAUCUUGACGGUACCUAAUCAGAAAGCCACGGCUAACUACGUG
rnacentral:rRNA from 1 species